ACACAGGAUGUCGAUGCCCGGACCGAGCGAUGCGAGCGGCUAUGGGAAACGACGAGGGAGCGACCACCAGAACGAGGAGAGACUCGCGACAAACUGCUCAGACCCGGUGCAAAUGAGCCACGGCCAGCGGCGUUGUGCUGGUGGGGAGUGACGAAGAUCGGCGGUGAGCAGCUGGGAAUGCAGCUGCUGGCGCGAGAGACAGAGAUGCGGUGCGGCCAGGAGCUUCAGCGGUGGGUUUAGGCUGGCUACAGCUACAGGAAAGCAUCAGAGAAGACGUGAGAGAGAAGUAGGAGGAUAAGGCAGCAGCAACAAAAAUCUGGAAUCUGGAGGAAGUGGAAAAAAAUAUCAAGGGUAGGAAGUUCAACGGUGACUAAUAAAAAUCUAGAGAACAGUAUAUUUUCCAUUUUGAUCUUUUGUUAUUUCUUUCUCAAAGAAUACUGGUACUAAACAGACCAAAACACAAUCAGGAUAGGAUAUUGAGACGCCAUUAAUUUAGUUGAAUCUAGAUAAAAAA